AAAAUGUAACGUGGCUUCUCCAGGCGUACAAUCACAUUACCCCAAGUUUCGUUAAUUAAACUGUGACUUUCUGCAUCGAAUAUUCUAGCCAUAUUCAAGCAACAAAAGCUCCCAUCUUCUCCGCUUUAUUAUAAGCUAUGAUUACCGGAUUUCGUAAAAAAGCGCAUACCCAACAGUUCUCAACUUAGGUUGGUGCUCUAUUGGUUCUUCUCAGUGGGGUACGGUUCGUUUAAAUGAUAUUAAACUGCAUGCUAUUACAUGGUUGAAACGUUAACUUACCCAUCUUUUGCGGAUUGAGAAUUUGAUGUGGGGGCACAGAAGAAUAAAGACACAGAUGUUCCAUUAAAAGUAUGAGAAUUAUUGUCAUUCUUUUGGUGUAUUUUGUAGUCGCAAGGUCUUUUAUAAAAAAUUACCAAGUAUUUCGCAGAGAAUUGUCCGGAGGUUGAAAUAAGAAAUUAAGAAACUUAAUACAAACGGAAUUCCAAAAAUAUUUUUGCAAAGCCUUUAUUUAUAUUAAACAACUGAUAUUUUUUAAUCAAUGUCACAAAGUUAUUUUUUAUGAAUACCGUUUUCCGAACCCUCCAUGCAACACUUUUAACUUCACCGUAU